CAAUAGCGUAUAUUUAAGUUGUUGCAGUUAAAAAGCUCGUAGUUGGAUUUCUGGUGGGAGCGAUCGGUCUGGCGCUUAGCGCGAGUACUUGCAUCGUCUCCGGCCAUCCUUGGGGAGAGUCUGUCUGGCAUUAGGUUGUCGGGCAGAGGAUCCUCAUCGUUUACUGUGAAAAAAUUAGAGUGUUCAAAGCAGGCUUAUGCCGUUGAAUAUAUUAGCAUGGAAUAAUAAGAUAGGACUUUGGUACUAUUUUGUUGGUUUGCGCACCAAAGUAAUGAUUAAUAGGGACAGUUGGGGGUAUUCGUAUUCCGUUGUCAGAGGUGAAAUUCUUGGAUUUACGGAAGACGAACUACUGCGAAAGCAUUUACCAAGGACGUUUUCAUUAA
rnacentral:rRNA from 1 species